rnacentral:rRNA from 1 species
UCAUCUAUAUGCUGUCUCCAAGAUUAAGCCAUGCAUGUCUAAGUAUAGCAAUUAUUACCGCGAAACUGCGAAUGGCUCCAUUAUAUAAGUUAUCGUCUAUUUGAUAAUACUUUACUACUUGGAUAACCGUGGUAAUUCUAGAAGCUAAUACAUGCUGAAAAUCCCGACUUCGGAAAGGGAUGUAUUUAUUAGAUUAAAAACCCAAUGCCCUCUCGGGGCUUCUCUGGUGAAUCAUGAUAACUGGACGAAUCGUCAGGCCUUGUGCCGGCGAUGGCUCUAUCAAAUUUCUUCCCUAUCAACUUUCGAUGUUUGGGUCUUGUCCAAACAUGGUGGCAACGGGUAACGGAGAGUUAGGGCUCGACUCCGGAGGAGGAGCCUGAGAAACGGCUACUACAUCCAAGGAAGGCAGCAGGCGCGCAAAUUACCCAAUCCCGACGCGGGGAGGUAGUGACAAUAAAUACUGAUACAGGGCUCUUUUGGGUCUUGUAAUCGGAAUGAGUACAAUUUAAAUCCCUUAACAAGGAACAAUUGGAGGGCAAGUCUGGUGCCAGCAGCCGCGGUAAUUCCAGCUCCAAUAGCGUAUAUUAAAGUUGUUGUGGUUAAAAAGCUCGUAGUUGAACCUUGGGCCUGGCUGGCCGGUCCGCCUCACCGCGUGCACUGGUCCGGCCGGGCCUUUCCCUCUGCGGAACCCCAUGCCCUUCACUGGGUGUGGCGGGGAAACAGGACUUUUACUUUGAAAAAAUUAGAGUGCUCAAGGCAGGCCUAUGCUCGAAUACAUUAGCAUGGAAUAAUAGAAUAGGACGUGUGGUUUUAUUUUGUUGGUUUCUAGGACCGCCGUAAUGAUUAAUAGGGACAGUCGGGGGCAUCAGUAUUCAAUUGUCAGAGGUGAAAUUCUUGGAUUUAUUGAAGACUAACUACUGCGAAAGCAUUUGCCAAGGAUGUUUUCAUUAAUCAGGAACGAAAGUUAGGGGAUCGAAGACGAUCAGAUACCGUUGUAGUUUUAACCAUAAACUAUGCCGACUAGGGAUCGGACGAUGUUACAUUUUUGACGCGUUCGGCACCUUACGAGAAAUCAAAGGCUUGGCUCCAGGGAGUAGCGAGG